rnacentral:rRNA from 1 species
CAGUCGCCGCGGUAAUACGAGGGGGGCAAGCGUUGUUCGGAAUUAUUGGGCGUAAAGGGCGCGUAGGCGGUUUGACAAGUCUGAUGUGAAAUCUAUGGGCUCAACCCAUAGCCUGCAUUAGAAACUGUCGGGCUUGAGUAUGGGAGAGGUGAGUGGAAUUUCCGGUGUAGCGGUGAAAUGCGUAGAUAUCGGAAGGAACACCUGUGGCGAAAGCGGCUCACUGGACCAUAACUGACGCUGAGGCGCGAAAGCAUGGGGAGCAAACAGGAUUAGAUACCCGCGUAGUCCCUGUCUCUUAUAC